UGGCGGCGUGCCUAAUACAUGCAAGUCGAACGAAGCUUUCUUUCACCGAAUGCUUGCAUUCACCGAAAGAAGCUUAGUGGCGAACGGGUGAGUAACACGUAGGCAACCUGCCCAAAAGAGGGGGAUAACACUUGGAAACAGGUGCUAAUACCGCAUAACCAUGAACACCGCAUGAUGUUCAUGUAAAAGACGGCUUUUGCUGUCACUUUUGGAUGGGCCUGCGGCGUAUUAACUUGUUGGUGGGGUAACGGCCUACCAAGGUGAUGAUACGUAGCCGAACUGAGAGGUUGAUCGGCCACAUUGGGACUGAGACACGGCCCAAACUCCUACGGGAGGCAGCAGUAGGGAAUCUUCCACAAUGGACGAAAGUCUGAUGGAGCAACGCCGCGUGAAUGAAGAAGGCCUUCGGGUCGUAAAAUUCUGUUGUCAGAGAAGAACGUGCGUGAGAGUAACUGUUCACGUAUUGACGGUAUCUGAUCAGAAAGCCACGGCUAACUACGUGCCAGCAGCCGCGGUAAUACGUAGGUGGCGAGCGUUGUCCGGAUUUAUUGGGCGUAAAGGGAACGCAGGCGGUCUUUUAAGUCUGAUGUGAAAGCCUUCGGCUUAACCGAAGUAGUGCAUUGGAAACUGGAAGACUUGAGUGCAGAAGAGGAGAGUGGAACUCCAUGUGUAGCGGUGAAAUGCGUAGAUAUAUGGAAGAACACCAGUGGCGAAAGCGGCUCUCUGGUCUGUAACUGACGCUGAGGUUCGAAAGCGUGGGUAGCAAACAGGAUUAGAUACCCUGGUAGUCCACGCCGUAAACGAUGAGUGCUAAGUGUUGGAGGGUUUCCGCCCUUCAGUGCUGCAGCUAACGCAUUAAGCACUCCGCCUGGGGAGUAC
rnacentral:rRNA from 1 species